UACGUAGGGUGCGAGCGUUGAUCGGAAUUACUGGGCGUAAAGCGUGCGCAGGCGGUUUUGCAAGCCGGGAUGUGAAAUCCCCCGGGCUCAACCUGGGAAUGGCAUUUGGGACUGCAAGGCUCGAGUGCGGCAGAGGAGACUGGAAUUCCUGGAUGUAGCGGUGAAAUGCGCAGAUAUCAGGAGGAACACCGGUGGCGAAGGCGGGUCUCUGGGCCAAAACUGACGCUGAGGAGCGAAAGCGUGGGGAGCGAACAGG
rnacentral:rRNA from 1 species